GGAAGUAAAAGUCUUAACAAGGUUUCCGUAGGUGAACCUGCGGAAGGAUCAUUAAUGAGUUGUCAUGGGGUUCGAUGCUGGCAGCCAAUUUUUGGAUGCAUGUGCUUGCCCUAACAAUCAUCUUCCAAACACCUGUGCACAUUUUUGGGGGAGUCUUGAGUUGGUUGCCGCUCUUGGGUGAUUUUCUCACAUUCCCUUAAAUCAUUAUACGCUAUUAACAAUGUUGAACGUGCUCUGUGCCGCAAGGCUAUUAAUAUAAUACAACUUUUAACAACGGAUCUCUUGGCUCUC
rnacentral:misc_RNA from 1 species